AUUCAGACCACCCCCCCACCCACCCACACACACACAGACACACAUACAUCUGUUUUGUGCGGUGAAUUCACACAGGAUAAGAAAGGCCUGUACUAUCAUCAGAUUUAUUGACAUUAUCCCCACAUUUGAUGUCCAGACUUAAAUUCUGAAUUGCCAAUGCAGCCAAAUUACACAGAUGCCGACUGACAAGGGACUAAUAUUGUGAAUAUUGUCACACGACCCCUGUGUUUGGUGAAAUAUGGCAGGUGAUUUAUGGUGGCAUUUAAAAUUGACAAAUUACAGACAUGGCGGUCUGCACUUAAGAUCACAGAAGGCCUUCGUUAUUAUUACAAAUCACUAGAUGUCCCCAGGUAAUACCAGUCCCGUGCCAAUUAGAGUUUAAGAAGGUAAAACCUUUUGUUGUGCUGCACUUGGCUGAACUUUCAAUUCCCUUUGAAUCGUGCACUAAGCGCUUAAAUCUGCACUGAAGCCUAAAUUUUAUGACGAGAUAAUAUCUUCUAAAUAGGAGAUAAACUUUUGCACAAUUUUAUUUUUUGACCUUGCCUUUCAAGGCUUCCGUAGGGCCCUGUCCUGCUGCACCAACAUCUCUUUGUACUCUACAGACUUUUGGGAUGUGCUGUGAUUGGCCGGGAUCCAGAGCCUAUCAUCUGUCUUUAAACCUCUCAUUGGACGUUCUCCUCAGUGGUUGUUGCUGCUGACAACACAUGACACUGAAAAAGAAUGACUGUUUUGGGGUUUUAGGUGUCCUUCUCUUGCCGACAAAGAAACCUAUGAGACACUCCACAAAGCCCCCCCCCCCCCCCCCCCCCCCCUUUGUUAUGACUUCAUAUUAACAUCCACUUUGUUAUGACUUCAUAUUAACAUCCACUUUGUAGGAAUAAGCGUCUGUAGAGAGCUUCCAUUUUCUGUACUUUUCUGUAGGGUGGAAACUGUCUCCUUGUGUUCACAGGUAAAAAUGAACUCUGAUAUAACUUCAGUGGUCUCUGUAUAUUCUUGAAAAUGAAAUUAAUCUAACAAUUUUCUACUUUCUAGCGAUGUUUUAUGUAUACAAAUUGCAGUAGAAAAUAGAAUGAGAUGUAUUUUGUAAUAUUAAUAUUUCUGUAGUAUAUUUUUGCUGUGUGAAAUUCACCGCACAUUCAUUGUUGUCUCAUUGUUUGCCUGCUAGAUACAAUGACAAUGACAAUAAACUGCAACACUUCU